GCAGAAUCUGGGCUGCCGGGCACCAUUUCGCGAACCCCAAAUUCUCACACGCACCCCAUAACGUUCCGCCGGCUCCCAGGCCCGGCUGGGGGAACUAAACUUUCAUCCUCCAUCUCCCGGUCCCGGACGGCCCCCUAGAACGCGGGCAAGGUAUCUAGGCCGACGGCCCCUCAUGGGGACCCAGGCCUUCUUACUCUUUUGGGGGUACAUUCAAGGCUUAGAGGCCACCCCAGACACCAUCUCCGGAAGAGUGACGUCGGAGGACGAGGGGGCAACGGAAAGGUCAAAAAGGUCGGGGAGUUUCGUUCGCGGAGCCGCACCCCUCGGCUGAGACCCGGGCCUGCUCGGGGGCGGAGAGGAGGCCGGGCCCCAGGCUGUUGAGUGGCCGCCCUUCCAGCCAAUGGACACGUCGCCCCGCCACGCUGGGGCCCGCCCCUCCCGGCUCGCUGUACUCACUUUCCCCACUUCGGCGUUGCCCAUGGAGAUGACUUUGAUGCGGAGAGACCUGCCGGGCUCCUUCCGCUUCGGCAUGUUGGCCUCCAUGGCCCUGGCUCUCUCGGGGCCACCCGCCUCGGUCUCUUCUUGUGCACCGCUGGCCCGUCCCUCAGGCCUCCUCGUCCAAUGGCGGAGCCGCUGCUCUCGUCACCGCCUCGCCUCCGCUGCUCGCCAUCCCCGCCGCUGCCUGGCAGCAGGCGCGGGCGGUUGGGAGCGUGGGGAGCCGGGGGAGGGAGACGGGAGUCUCGCGAUGCUAGCGCGGGGCUGCUGACGUCAUCUGCAGGCCCUGGAGACGCGACUGCAGUUACCGAGUUUCUAAGGCCUCGUCCCCUGACGGGAAGGCGGCGUUGGGGGGCGGCUGGGUUUACCCUUCGAGAUCUCUGAUGGAUUUGUUGACUCCUCUGUGGGAGAAAGGCUUGGUCUACUGCAGGUGUUAACGCUAAGCCAGGCUGGAGCUGUGGACGUCAGUUUCCUCAGCUCCCCGCUGUUCGCUUCGAACGUGACCUCGACGUCUGCUCUCCCCUUCCCUUUAGCUGACAAUGUGACAGUGCUUGAAUAAAAGUCAGUCUGACAGGAACGGUAAUUUUUUUUCAGUGAAUAUCUUCAGUUACAGAAGAUAAAUAGAACUUGACAAUGAUUAUUUAUAGUGCCCUGAAAAAAAAUGGCUGCCAAUUUCCCUGUAUAUUACAAAGACAAAAGUAGCAUUGCUUCUUUUCUCACCUAACUUUAAACAUCUUAAGGGAAGUGCAUUACAGGAAGGCAAUGAGCAAAGGCUCAACAUUUCACAGUAAAGUCAGAUUUUCCACAUUUUAAUUUUAAAAUGUGUUUUUUAAACAUUAAGUUUUUUUUAAGACAAGUUUAUUCUGGAUUGUUUUGAUAAUCAAAUAAUAUAACUUAAUUCACUGAAGCUUCUAAAAUUAUUUACAAAUAUGAAAUAUAAGUCCUGGUUAGAAUUUGGAUAGUUUUAAAGCUUAAAAGAAUCCACAUGCUAACUUCUCAGUAUGAUUUAAUAAAUCAAAUUACUAAACAUGUAAUUUCUUCGACAGUUCACCUUUGGCCCUGUAAUAGGGUAACUGGUAUUGUGGAAGAAUAAUUAUAAAAUGUCAAAUCUUCAGCUGUUAUGAUUGAUUAAGUAUGGUGCUGUUGAGACUAAGCAGUAAAACAUGCCACAGAUUUAAAUUGAUUACUAUUUUUUUCAUAUUGAUGGGGUUUUUUUUGUUUUUGUUUUUGUUUUUGAGACAGAGUUUCCCUCUUGUUGCCCAGGCUAGAGUGCAGUGGCACAAUCUCUGCUCACUGCAACCCCUGUGUCCCGGGUUCAAGCAAUUCACCUGCCUCAGCCACCCGAGUAGCUGGGAUUACAGGCACCCACCGGUAUACGCAGAUAAUUUUUGUAUUUUUAGUAGAGACGGGGUUUCACCAUAUUGGCCAGGCUGGUCUCGAACUCCUGACCUCAGGUGACCCUCCUGCCUUUGCCUCCCAAAGUGUUGGGAUUACAGGCAUGAGCCACAGCGUCCGGCCCAUAUUGAUGCUUUUGACACUUUAUUGUAUAUAGCUACAUUUUCUACUGUGUGUAUUAAAUUAGUUUGGAAUCGAAAGAGCAAGAAAGUUGUUUUUUUUCCCCCACUCUUUGAAUAUAAAAAAAUAAAAAUCAGCACGAGUUAGCUGCUUUUUCCAUAGUAUGGACCUGGGAGGUAUAGUGUGAGCAUGGAUUCUGGAGCCAGCCCGAUACACUUAAUCUUGGCAUAUGUUGUAGGCAUGAGGUGGUGAUAAGGAUUGUAGGAGAUAAUGCACAGGAAGUACGUAGUAGUCUCCCAGCAAACAGCAGCCACAUGCUCUCAUUUGCUCAUACUUUUUUAUGUGUUAAGAAAAAUCCUACAUCUUUUUAAUGUGUAUUUUUAGAAAGUAAAUUAUG
rnacentral:lncRNA from 1 species